UGCUGCGUGCGCGCGCGUCGGUCUGCUGGUGGCGUGUUAUGGAGGGUUUGGGUGUUCAGGCCGUGACUCUGUCUGACGGGUCGACGGCGUUCCUCCAGCAGAACGCCAGCGAUGGGAGUGUCCUGGAGGGAAACACCGUUCAACUGGAGGACGGAUCCACAGCGUUCAUACAACAUAUCACACUUCAACAGAAAGAGUCGCUGGCGUUCGAGGACGGUCAGGCGGUGCAGUUGGAGGACGGCUCGACAGCGUUCAUUCAUCACGCACCUAAAGCAGGUUAUGACCCCAGCGCAGUGGAGGCCGUUCAGCUGGAGGACGGCAGUACCGCGUACAUCCAUCAUCCGUCCUCUCUGGAGAACUACAGUGAUACGGUGAUGAGGUCAGAGGUUGAGAUCGAUGACAACGGCGAGGACAGAGACACAACGGAGCAGACCGGCAUACAGCUGAUGGUGUGGAGCUCCAGUAAAGCUCAUCAGGUGGCUGAGAAAAGUUUCCGCUGCGCUCACGCGGACUGCGAUCGACACUACACCACAGCACAUCAUCUGAAGGUGCACGAGCGCUCUCACACAGGUGACCGGCCGUACAGGUGCGAGGUUCCCACCUGCAGUAAAGCGUUCGCCACGGGUUACGGUCUGAAGAGUCACGCGAGGACACACACCGGAGAAAAACCUUACAAGUGUCCUGAAGACAUGUGUCACAAAGCCUUCAAGACGUCUGGAGACCUGCAGAAGCACCUGCGCACACACACAGGUGAGAAACCCUUCAAGUGUCCGUUUGAGGGCUGCGGUCGUUCCUUCACAACAUCAAACAUUCGUAAAGUUCACACGCGCACACACACGGGCGAGAGACCCUACCUGUGUCCUGAACCCUCCUGUGGAAGAGCCUUCGCCAGCGCCACCAACUACAAGAACCACAUGAGGAUACACACUGGAGAGAAGCCGUAUGUGUGUACGGUUCCGGGCUGUGGGAAGAGUUUCACCGAGUAUUCCAGUCUUUAUAAACAUCACGUGGUGCACACACACUGUAAGCCGUACACGUGCGGUCACUGCGGGAAGACGUACAGACAGACGUCUACACUGGCCAUGCACAGACGCACAACACAUGGAGACUUCUACACGGCCGCUGACGACGCAGACGUGUUCGACGGCUCGCCGCAGGCCGCUGCUGAGCAGGAAACCGAUGUUAAGGUUACCAUGGAAACAGGCGGCAUCCCCACCUCACAGGUACUCGGCACAGCCGUCGCCAUGGUAACGCAGGACGGAACAACCAGCGCUGGACAGCAGCAUGUCACCAUGGUUACUGACGGCAAAGAGCUGCAGCCGGUUGCCAUAGUAACAUCAGAUGGCAUCAUGACGGAGGUGAAGGCGUAUCAGCAGGUGGCGCUGUUGGCCACAGAGAACGGCACACAGAUCGCAGUACAGUUAGAAGACCAGCAGAUGUUAGAGGAGGCGAUCACCAUGGCAACAGCAGCGAUCCAGCAGGGCGGGCUGACCUCAGAUCAGUGACCACUGCACAUCACAGACACCUCAGAAUGUUUGUAGCUUUUUUACUGGUUUCAGCACAUGGUGUGUGUGUUCAUAAUAAAAUAUAUUUGUUUAUAAAAGUGUCUGAUCAUCACCAUAAAUAGUUUAUCAUCAUAAACUAAUGUUUACCACCUGCAGGGGUCAGAGUUCAGCUGCAGUUCUGCCGUGUGGCCUGCAGGGGUCAGUUACUGAUCUGAAGUCAGUGGAAACUUUUUUAGUGUUUACCGUAAAACACACACACACACAUAUAAAUAAGGACAUCCUACACGACAACCCACGUGACAAAUAUAAAACUUCAUUUGCGGUAUAACGAAGAAAAUGUAGUUUUCUCACUGACUGAAGAGAUUUAGCUAAACUAAAUACCCACGUGUAAUGUUUUUAUUUCUUCAUGAACUAUGCUCUUAAGACUGAUCUUGAAAUCUGAUUUGAUUCAGUGUUAAACAUUUGCGUGAACGUUUCCCCAAAUAUUCCUGUGACGUGUUUUUAAAAGUAGAAACUGAAUGUGAGUUGAGUUACGUUGAGUUCCUCUUUUUAUUUCAACACACACACACACACACACACACACACACACACACACACACACUUGUGUUCUGUCUGUUCUACCCCAACAACAGUCUCUGAUUGGUUGAACUGCUGUGACGUCAGUGAAUGACAAGCGAGAAGGAAAAACCAGCGGCUUUGGGGUUUCCUCAGUGUGUAUUUAGGAGAGAGAGAGAGAGAGCGCAAACAGAAAUGUGUCAAAACAUUCUGAAAACAGAAAAAGGGAAAUAUGUCAAACACUAUCUGAAAGCUGUCUGUGGUUAAACAGAGAAUAUAAAGGGGCAGAAUACCUCACAAGCGCAUCAGACCCUAAAGUGAGAAAAGUGUUGAGCGCGUGCACACUCACACACAUGGACACCAAGAGAAGAGCGUCUGUGUCCACACUGCACACACAAUCAUCUCGUGUCCAAACUACACACACAUCACAGAAACAUUCUGCACCAGUUUACAAACUUCCACACAGACUUUAACCAGUUCAACCAAACAUUUCAGACAUGCAUACGUCAAGUCCUGCCACGACAAAACAACACGACACAACACACACAAACUGAUCCUGUCACCCUCACUGAGAACUGACAGCAAUACUUUGCUCUUUUCUCUUUAUAUUGAGAUGUAUAUAUAGAUACUUAUAUACUUUUAUUUGAUCUUAAUCUGUAUUUAUGCAUGUUUAUAUUUCAUUUUCCUGUGCUUUGGCAAUGUAAACACUUGUUUUAUGAUGCCAAUAAAGCUUCUUUGAAUCUCUUGAGAGAGAAUACCUCUCACACACACAGUGUGUACAACACAAACACCAUACAGCACGAGUUGGGUCUGUUAUUGCACAUGUGAGGAAAGUUAAGACUGUGUGUGCGUGCGCGCGCGCGUGCGUUAGGCCGGAUUCACAUUUCGCGUCUUUUCCGCGCGCAUAUUCGUUAUUUUAAAUGUAGACUAUAUAAUAGGAAAUAGGGGGCGACGCGCUCUUUUGUCAGGCGCGUCGGCGCCACAUCGAGAUGAAAAUCUCAACUUUUCAGAAAGGCGCAAGCGCACCGCAGGUCACGUGACAAGAACCAACCAGCCAAUACAGACAAGCUCAAUGAAGAUGGAGACAGAUGAUCACAGCAUAACUAAAUCUAGUAGCAGAGUUAUUGCAAGAACCAACAGGGAUCACACUUGUUGAGCGAACAUGAGAACUGAUCUCAGAUCUGCCCGGAUACGAGCGCUCAUCGGCCAAUCACAUCUCAGAUCUGAGCGUAAGGGCGAGUAACCCCGGCAGCUGGGGGUCAGAGGUCAAUCUCCUGUUUGCAGUGCAGCUCGUAUCAAAACCUGUGAGGACUCAAGGAGAAAUGACUUCCUGAACAGAUCUGAGAUCAGUUGAUCACGUCAUGAGGAGUCUCUCUUUGUCUCGGAUUCAUUCAGAUGAAUGUGUGUGUGUGAGGGGGGGUGUUAGACAAUAGUGUGAGACUCCAUAUGUGUGUAGUCUCUUGUUAAAGCCAUCUGCCUGAAUCGCCCCCCACGCACACACAGAAGAUAUUUCGAGAAAUGUCUCAGUGGGUUUGUGUUCAAACAAUGGACAUCAAUGAAGUUCAGCAUUGUUUUAUUAUCAACAUUCUUCAAGAUAUGUUCUUUUGUGCUCUAUAGUAGAAAGAAACUCAAAGUUUGAGUAAACCAUGAAAGUUUUCUUAUUUUCGGACAGUCCGUUGUCAAUUCUGCGAGAGCCACGUGCGACACAAACAGAAACGUUUCAUUCAUAAAAUGUUUAUUAUAAUAAAAACUGACUGUACAGCUCUUCAUCUGCACAACAAUGCAUUUCUUAAAAAACAAAAAUGUACAAUAAAAGUUUCAAAUAGCUUACAAACUACAUUAACUCUCUGUCUAGAACAAGCUGCUCAGCAGCCCGUGUGACAUGUGCUACAGACUUUACUGGCACUCAUAACAACCAACCAACAGACCACAUGCAAAGCAUUCUGGGAGAAAACCACUCUUCCUCC